UGGGGAAUAUUGGACAAUGGGGGCAACCCUGAUCCAGCAAUACCGCGUGAGUGAAGAAGGCCUUCGGGUUGUAAAGCUCUUUUACCGGGGAAGAUAAUGACGGUACCCGGGGAAUAAGCUCCGGCUAACUUCGUGCCAGCAGCCGCGGUAAUACGAAGGGAGCUAGCGUUGUUCGGAAUUACUGGGCGUAAGGGGCGCGUAGGCGGUUUUGUAAGUCAGAUGUGAAAGCCCCGGGCUUAACCUGGGAACUGCAUUUGAGACUGCAAGACUAGAGAUCGAGAGAGGAAAGUGGAAUUACGAGUGUAGAAGUGAAAUUCGUAGAUAUUCGUAGGAACACCGGUGGCGAAGGCGACUUUCUGGCUCGACCCUGACGCUAAAGCGCGAAAGCGUGGGGAGCAAACA
rnacentral:rRNA from 1 species